GACAGUUUCUUUUUAAUAAUUAUAAACCAUGUUGUAAGGAGGCGACAUUCUCAGGAGAAGUACAGCCAGCAAUGGAGGAUUACGUGUGAGCGCAGCAUGCAACGCCGCAGCCGCUCCUCCGUCUUCCUCUUACCGGUCUGAUCGUCCAGGCUGCCGGUGUUCAGGGUGGUGAUCAGCUCCUCCAGGCUCUCCUUCGUCCCGUUCAUCUUCCAGUUUCCUCCGACGAAAAACCUCCGCGCCAUGGCCGGUUGCUGGUGGCUGAUUCCCGGUACGAGAGGAGAUGAAGGCCCCGGUGUUCAGUCCCGACUGGUGUGCAGUUCACGGGCUGUGGGAAAUAUCAGGACUAAAUACACUGGCGAAAA